AGGGGCAGCUCGGGCAGCUCCGCGGGCCGCUCGCCGUCCCUCUCCCUGGCGGGCCAACACCUCGGGGUCGUGGCUUUUCCAGCAAGGUGGACCUCGUCGCCCACAUCAGCACUGGCGACAGCUGACUGGAAGCUGAUAUCUGAAUAAAUAAAGACUAUUGUUAAUUACAGCGACAUAUGAUGUUGAGCAUCUUUUUCUAUGUAAC